GACAAAUGUGGACCCUUGAUAUCUUCAUUUUCGUUUUCAAGGUUCAUCUCCCAAACACAUGCAUGUUCUCUUAAAGAACGUUCUCCAUCCCAUACAAAACCUGCAUUUAAUGCACCCUCUAUUCUACCAUUACAUAUUUGUGAAAACCUUACUCUAUAAGUCUAUUCAUAAGAACCUCACUCUUUCUCUGUUCCUAACUUAGACCCAGCAAACUCAUCUCAGCAUGACUCCUCUUUCUCUUGCCAUGAUCCUUCUCCUUAGUGUUUCUGUGCAUGCAUGCACUGCCCGAUUUCCUAGUCUUUCUAAAAAAGACACCCCUCAUAAGGUCAAAUUAUUGGAGACGUUAACUGCAUCUAGUAGCUUGAAGGAUUACAGGCUACAGGAAAAUCAACAGCAGCAACAGAAACUCGCGAAUAAUGAAUUGAACACUUGUGAGAGUUGUAGCAUGUCAUCCACUUUGAAGGAACCGAUCGUAGAGGCAGCUUCAGGGACAUCUUUUCAAAUGGAUUCGCCAUCCUUUCUCGCAGCAGAGGUGACAUAUUCAACGGAUGUUCUUUCUCCUGUUCUACAAGCCGCAGUGUUGCAUUCUUUCUUGUCAUCUCAGAUUGUGCUAUGAAACAGACUACAACAAAUGCUACUAAUACAAAAAAAUUCCAAACACAGCUUAUAAAUCAAGAUGCACACCAGACCAAUCCAUCUCAAGUUAAGGCAUCUGAACCUGAGGCCAUUGAAAAUCCAAUUAACCAGACAAGUAAAAAUGCUCGAAUCCAACAAAGAAAACCCACGUGACUCUUGAAGGAUUCUGUACAGGGCUUAUAAAUCACAAUGAUGUGCCUUCUAGAGCUAGCAAAUCCACAGCAGAAAAGCCUAGGGAUCCCACAAGAAGGAACACUGAAACAGGUUCAGCUCGUUCAAUCCAGACAGCACAUUUAAAUGAUGACGUAACCAUGACUGAUGUGAGCUUCUAGACAACCACAUCAACCAAAAAAGUAUUAUUAUUGGAAUGGUAUAAAGUUAUAAAUAAUUUUUUUGUGCCGUUGAAGGCAUGGUUUUUAGUUUUGAUCUGCAAGCUGUUGACGUAACCACACUGAAUUUUUGAAGUCUCCACAUUUGUCCACAAUUUCUUGCGAUAUUGCUUACCAUGGUUGAAUAUGUAAUUCUAGCUGUACAAUUUUGGACAGUUAACAGGGGCUUGCUAUGAAAAGAUCUGGAUUAAAGCUAAUGUAGAUGGGUCUUAUAAGCUUCAAGAACAUCUUACUAGCUGUGGUGGAGUUUUCCGUGAUCACACACGUUAAAUCUUGGAACAUUCUGUUUCGGAUCAUCAGAUCCAACGUCUAAUGGCUUUAGUGUGCAAUCUGAACUGUGGGGUGUCCUGACUGCCCUGAAGCUUGCUAAGGAGAAAAGGAUUUCUCAGCUGUGGACUGUGUUCUGAAUAAACGGGCGGAAAAAUAUGAUCUUUAUACUCCUCUUGUUCAGUCGAUACUUGAGUUGAUUGAGGGAAAUUGGAAGGUUCGAAUCUCUCAUUGCUAUCGUGAAGGAAACCAAGUUGCUGACUGGUUGUCAAAAUUUGGGCAUAGUAAGGAGAUAGGUCUCCG